rnacentral:misc_RNA from 1 species
UCCGGUUUAACACCGGCAGUCUCCCUAGAGUGCCCAACUGAAUGAUGGCAACUAAGGAUAAGGGUUGCGCUCGUUAAGGGACUUAACCCGACAUCUCACGAUACGAGCUGACGACAGCCAUGCAGCACCUGUACUCCCUGCCCCCGAAGGGGAAACUCUAUCUCUAGAGCGGUCAGGGGAUGUCAAACCCAGGUAAGGUUCUUCGCGUUGCAUCGAAUUAAACCACAUGCUCCACCGCUUGUGCGGGCCCCCGUCAAUUCCUUUGAGUUUUAAUCUUGCGACCGUACUUCCCAGGCGGGGUACUUAAUGCGUUAGCGUCGGCACUGUGGGGGUCAAUUCCCACAACACCUAGUACCCAUCGUUUACAGCGUGGACUAC